GGGUCCAUGAUGAUUCCCAGUCAAACAUUCCUUGGAAAAGCUGAAAAAAAUGAGUUAAAACACAGUACUGCCACUAUCAUCAAAAGUGACGUCC